rnacentral:rRNA from 1 species
GACGAACGCUGGCGGCGUGCUUAACACAUGCAAGUCGAACGGAAAGGCCCCCAUCUUGGUGGGGGUGCUCGAGUGGCGAACGGGUGAGUAACACGUGGGUGAUCUGCCCUGUACUUCGGGAUAAGCUUGGGAAACUGGGUCUAAUACCGGAUAGGACCAUGGUUUAGUGUCUCAUGGUGGAAAGAUUAUUGUUUUGGUGCAGGAUGAGCUCGCGGCCUAUCAGCUUGUUGGUGGGGUAAUGGCCUACCAAGGCGUCGACGGGUAGCCGGCCUGAGAGGGUGGACGGCCACAUUGGGACUGAGAUACGGCCCAGACUCCUACGGGAGGCAGCAGUGGGGAAGAUUGCACAAUGGGCGCAAGCCUGAUGCAGCGACGCCGCGUGGGGGAUGACGGCCGUCGGGUUGUAAACUCCUUUCGUUAGGGACGAAGCCGCACUUUUUUUGGGUGUGGUGACGGUACCUUUGUUAAGAAGCACCGGCUAACUACGUG